AAAUGGAAAAAAAAAAAAAGCUACAACAAUUGAUCCAACUAAUAAAAGCCAACUAAAUAACAGCCUAAAUUUGAUCUCUGUGGCUCAAUGCUUGAAAUUAAAAGUGCAUUUGUUCAUCACACAUAUCUAGCAUUGCGUUCCAACUCCUAGCUCAUGUAUACAAGCCCAACUAGUUUCCAACGAGUGCAAAAAUCUUACAUUUCCUAGUCAAAGUUAACCCACAAAAAAAAUGGACAAGUAAGAAUGCUAAUACAAAACAAAAGAAUACCCAAUUGAAGCAAUGAACCGAACUCUGUUAAUAACCAAUCGAUAUUCUAUUCUGAUGAAAACAAAAAGAAAGACAAUUAGAAAAUAAUAUUAAUAAAAAAAACCCUAGUUUUGUUCACUUACCUAUAAAGAGUAGGAUUUGAAGGGUCA
rnacentral:misc_RNA from 1 species